UACGUAUAUUACAAUGCGAACACUUGGUAAGUUCCAUGCCCAAAGAAUGAUGAAGGCAAGCUUUUCCCUAUAUAUACACAUUUCAUCAACAUUAAAAUACACAAAACCAUAGCACCAAUCUGAAGCAGUUAAUCAACAAGAUCGCACAAUGAAUUCCCAAAAGAUAAGCAUUCAGAAUAAUCUUGCCCCUGUAACAAGGCCACCCCCCAAGGGUCCUAACUCCAAACCUCAAACUGGGACUAAGUUACCCACUACCCAACAGGUUUUUGCUAGAAGGCCAAAAUGAUUUCACACCACAUAUUUGUUGUCUUCUUACAGGUUGACGUAUAUAAGUUGGACCAGUACUGGAGUUAGAAGGUUUAGUGAAAUAUGGAAGCAAGAACUAUAUAGGGAUCGGAGCAUAUAUAUACAACAGCUAGUGCAUUUGUUUAUUGUAUUCGUUAAUUUAUUUGUUUGUCUUUACGUUUGUUGUGUGUUUUGUAUCGUAAGAAAAAAAUUGUAACAUAGUGAUACUCCUACAAUGAACAAUAAUAUGUAUUUAACCUAAGAAAAUUAUCAUUGUCCAUCCAUUUUUUUCUUUC